UGUUUUAGACUCCCUGGUCCGUGUUUCCAAGACGGGUCCCGCAAGGUAUCCUGAAUCUUUCGCAUUGUUAAUCAUAUAAAUGCAUACAAAUAAAUAUUAAUAUCAUAGAUAUUAAAUUUUUUGUAAAAUUCAAAAAAUGAAUUUUAGCAUUAUAUAUAAUAAAAUCUAUCAACACUUUAUCAAAUCAUUAGUAUUUAUUCUAUGUUAAUAUGCUUAAAAAGCAAAUUAAUUUAAAUAAACUUAAUAUCACCAAUGAUCUUUUGAUAAAUACUUUAUUAUGUUAAUAGAUUACAAUGUCCUUAUAUGAAAAAAAUGCACAUUAUUUUUUUAAUUAUAUUAAUAGAUGAAUUUUAUCAUAAAUAGGA
rnacentral:rRNA from 1 species